rnacentral:rRNA from 1 species
UUGACCUCGGAUCAGGUAGGAUUACCCGCUGAACUUAAGCA